UACGUAGGGUGCAAGCGUUAACCGGAAUUAUUGGGCGUAAAGCGUGCGCAGGCGGCUUUGCAAGACAGAUGUGAAAUCCCCGGGCUCAACCUGGGAACUGCAUUUGUGACUGCAAGGCUGGAGUACGGCAGAGGGGGAUGGAAUUCCGCGUGUAGCAGUGAAAUGCGUAGAUAUGCGGAGGAACACCGAUGGCGAAGGCAAUCCCCUGGGCCUGUACUGACGCUCAUGCACGAAAGCGUGGGGAGCAAACAGG
rnacentral:rRNA from 1 species